rnacentral:rRNA from 1 species
GAUGAACGCUGGCGGCGUGCCUAAUACAUGCAAGUCGAGCGAACAGACGAGGACCUUGCUCCUCUGACGUUAGCGGCGGACGGGUGAGUAACACGUGGAUAACCUACCUAUAAGACUGGGAUAACUUCGGGAAACCGGAGCUAAUACCGGAUAACAUGUUGAACCGCAUGGUUCAACAGUGAAAGACGGUCUUGCUGUCACUUAUAGAUGGAUCCGCGCCGCAUUAGCUAGUUGGUAAGGUAACGGCUUACCAAGUCAACGAUCAGUAGCCGACCUGAGAGGGUGAUCGGCCACACUGGAACUGAGACACGGUCCAGACUCCUACGGGAGGCAGCAGUAGGGAAUUUUCCGCAAUGGGCGAAAGCCUGACGGAGCAACGCCGCGUGAGUGAAGAAGGUCUUCGGAUCGUAAAACUCUGUUAUUAGGGAAGAACAAAUGUGUAAGUAACUAUGCACGUCUUGACGGUACCUAAUCAGAAAGCCACGGCUAACUACGUG